rnacentral:rRNA from 1 species
GACGAACGCUGGCGGCGUGCUUAACACAUGCAAGUCGAACGGAAAGGCCCUGCUUUUGUGGGGUGCUCGAGUGGCGAACGGGUGAGUAACACGUGAGUAACCUGCCCUUGACUUUGGGAUAACUUCAGGAAACUGGGGCUAAUACCGGAUAGGAGCUCCUGCUGCAUGGUGGGGGUUGGAAAGUUUCGGCGGUUGGGGCUGGACUCGCGGCUUAUCAGCUUGUUGGUGGGGUAGUGGCUUACCAAGGCUUUGACGGGUAGCCGGCCUGAGAGGGUGGCCGGGCCCAUUGGGACUGAGAUACGGCCCAGACUCCUACGGGAGGCAGCAGUGGGGAAUAUUGCACAAUGGGCGGAAGCCUGAUGCAGCAACGCCGCGUGCGGGAUGACGGCCUUCGGGUUGUAAACCGCUUUCGCAUGUGACGAAGCGUGAGUGACGGUAAUGGGUAAAGAAGCACCGGCUAACUACGUG